CUGCCAUAGAGCAUGACACUACCUUGGUAGUGAGACAAACAAAUGGAAAAGGUGUCUUCAGUCUCAAGUUUAUAUAUAUUGCAGAUUUAAGCUGAAUUCAGCCCUGAACCAUGAUGUCCAAGCAGGAAUAUUUCACCAGCUCAAAAGAUUGGAAUAUGUUUUUGUGCAUGGAGAAGGAAACUGAGCACAGAGCUCUAAUAGGACACACGUUGGUUUCAAGACAUACAGUCAUCAAAAACCUGUGUAAGGGAAUACAUUUUGACCUUUUCCAUACCCAUUUCCAAGAUUGCAUCUCUCCUGAUUUGAGAUUAACCCCUGAGCAGUGGAGUUA
rnacentral:lncRNA from 12 species